UACGUAGGGUGCAAGCGUUAAUCGGAAUUACUGGGCGUAAAGCGUGCGCAGGCGGUUUUGUAAGACUGACGUGAAAUCCCCGGGCUUAACCUGGGAAUGGCGAUGGUGACUGCAAGGCUAGAGUUUGGCAGAGGGGGGUAGAAUUCCACGUGUAGCAGUGAAAUGCGUAGAUAUGUGGAGGAACACCGAUGGCGAAGGCAGCCCCCUGGGUCAAAACUGACGCUCAUGCACGAAAGCGUGGGGAGCAAACAGG
rnacentral:rRNA from 1 species